AUACGGGGGGGACUAGCGUUGUUCGGAAUUACUGGGCGUAAAGCGUACGUAGGCGGAUCAGAAAGUAUGGGGUGAAAUCCCAGGGCUCAACCCUGGAACUGCCUCAUAAACUCCUGGUCUUGAGUUCGAGAGAGGUGAGUGGAAUUCCGAGUGUAGAGGUGAAAUUCGUAGAUAUUCGGAGGAACACCAGUGGCGAAGGCGGCUCACUGGCUCGAUACUGACGCUGAGGUACGAAAGUGUGGGGAGCAAACAGGAUUAGAUACCCUAGUAGUCC
rnacentral:rRNA from 1 species